AUACGGAGGGUGCAAGCGUUAAUCGGAAUUACUGGGCGUAAAGCGCGCGUAGGCGGAUAUUUAAGUCUCAUGUGAAAGCCCUGGGCUCAACCUGGGAACUGCAUGGGAUACUGGGUAUCUAGAAUACAGUAGAGGGUAGUGGAAUUUCAGGUGUAGCGGCGAAAUGCGUAGAGAUCUGAAGGAACAUCAGUGGCGAAGGCGACUACCUGGACUGAUAUUGACGCUGAGGUGCGAAAGCGUGGGGAGCAAACGGGAUUAGAAACCCUAGUAGUCC
rnacentral:rRNA from 1 species